rnacentral:antisense_RNA from 1 species
CUAGGAAAACCGAAAACAGUUCUAGACAGACCUGCGGUUUUAUAGCAGUUUUGGCAGUCAACUUCAGCUUGUGCCUGAGCAGACGGGGCUCUGGUGGCCUGCCAGCGGGGGAUGCCAGGCCACCUCCCCCAGCGGCACGCAGCCCCUCUCUUAAUUAGAUCGGUUUUCCCCUGGUGUCCGGGAGAGCGGUCCCGGCAGAAAGGAGGUCCAACAGCCGAGCUUAGCCCACCGGGCUCUGGGAAAGACCCGACUGAGGCUAAAGCCGCCCCGGAAGGCCAAGUCCGAGUUCCAUUUCUUGAAGAGGCCGGCGCGCGUAAGGCUGUGACAUUGGCCCUGGCGACUGGCUUCCCAGGAGCUGUUCUUUCUCAGGAGCUCCACAGCGCGGGCCAUCUCCAGAAAACUGUCUUCAGAGUGUAUUUCCUUUUAUCGUCAACCCAGAGCCCCACCGCGGCUAAUGCAAGAGGCCAAAAAAUGUUUGGAGGAAGAAAAACAAAGGCAGGAAGUGGCGGCCGCCUGACGGUGCGUGUGUGUCUGCAGAGAAGGGAGGGAGCCGGCUCAGUCUCUUCUUGUUUUUCCAAACUUCAAGGUCCAGGCAGCCCUCUGCAGGGCCGGGCCCCAUUGCUCCCCGCGCGGCAUUGGAGGUGGCCACCCGGAGAGGAGAAGGCCAACGCCUGCGCCAGGCUUGUCAGGCGGAAACGGCUAACAAGGAGAUUUGGUCAGCAAAACAGACCGAGCCUUUCCGAGGCUUCGUCUGACUUGGCCCGAAAGGUUGGGGAGGGGGGGCUUGCUCAGAGCCUCAGGGACCCUCCUCUCUGGGGACUA